rnacentral:misc_RNA from 1 species
UAUGCGUAUUAAAGCUUCACAAUAAGAAUGACUAUCAGAAGACUGUUUAAAAGCAUUGCUUGUCAGCUGAACAGAGAUAAAAAAAAAACGUAUUUAUGAGUCUGGUGAAAAGAGGAUUGUAAAAGAUUCAGCUAAAGGAGGCAAAAGUUGUUAAGAUAAAAAUGGGGCAAGGACACAAUACAAGCAGAAAAAUUAUUGCCAUGCUUUCAGCGAAAACACCAGCCCUCCCCUACACACACACACACACAACCUCGUCCUCCACUACUAAAGAAUAGGAAUUUGUUUCUACAUGACAAUUAUAUAAAAUUAUUGAAGGUGUACGAGUGUCUUAUCUCACAUUGAUACUUUCCUAAUUUGGUCUGUCAACUACCCUAACCAAUAAAAAUUAUGGACAUGUUUUUAUUAUAAAGACAGAGUUAUCAACUUAAUAAACCCUAGUUCAGAAAGUGCCAACACGUAAAAGCCAUGCUACGCGCUAGAAUUCCUGCUAAAGUUUGGAAUCGUAAAACCUCUCACAUUAGGAACGGACUUUUUAUUUAUAGCAAACAUACCGGAUUGGACAGCAGAAGGAACUGUACGACAGACACAAAACCACUCAGCAGUUCUGGAAAGAAAACCUUAACCCACAGCUAUGUCCAUGGACCAUCAGAUAUUCCUUUUCUUGGUUCCACCAUUGGAAACAUGUUCCAAGAACAGACAGAAAACAACCCAGAUGAUGAAGCUUGUGUAUUUUACUCAAGUGGAAUAAGAAGAACAUUUGCUCAAUUCUUAAAAGAAUGUGAUCAACUAGCUGCUAGUUUCUUGGACCUUGGAAUAAACAAAGGAGACAGAAUUGGUAUUUGGGGACCAAAUUCUUAUGAAUGGUUACUAGCCCAGUACGCAGGUUUCAGAGCUGGAAUAAUUUCAGUAAACGUCAACCCAGCCUUUAGAAUGGCAGAACUAGAGCACGUUGUAAACACUGUCGGUAUGAAAGCUAUAGUGAUGGCUGGUCCAUUCCGUGACACAAACUAUUACAACAUUUUGCACCAAUUAAUACCAGACCUACUGACAUCAACUCCGGGAGAUAUCAAAUCUAAAAAGUUACCAUCUUUGAAAACGAUAAUUUCAAUGGAAACCAAGAAAAUAGCUGGCACAUUUUCAUUUCAAGAAGUUCUGCAGGCAGGAACCACUAAGGGAGUCCAAUACAUAAGGGAUCUACAAAAGGAACUUCAGUUUGAUGAUCCGAUUAACAUUCAGUUCACUUCAGGAACCACUGGUAAACCUAAAGGGGCCACUCUGUCACAUUUCAGUAUUCUCAACAAUAGUCACUCUGUAGGUUUUCGUUUAAGAUACAAUGAAAUGAAACACCGUGUGUGCAUGCCAGUUCCAUUGUACCAUUGUUUCGGUUCCGUUGUUGGUGCAUUAACAAUGAUUACUCACGGAACCUGCUGCAUCUUCCCAUCUCCUGGAUUUGAAGCAAAGACUGUUCUGACAGUUGUCGAAAACGAAAGGUGCAAUUCCAUGUAUGGUGUUCCAACCAUGUUUAUAGACAUUUUGAGUCAUCCAGACUUCCCAAAAUAUGAUCUGACAUCAUUAAGGACUGGAGUCAUGGCAGGCUCUGUCUGUCCCAUAUCCCUUAUGGAAAGAGUCAUGAGAGACAUGCAUAUGCCUCACAUUACAAUAUGUUAUGGAAGUACUGAAACGAGUCCAGUGACAUUUCAGAGUGAUUAUAAUGAUACGGCAGAAAGGAAAUGUUCAACAGUGGGUCAGGUUUCAUCCCAUACUGAGGCAAAAAUUGUAAAUCUUGAUGGCAAAUUACUUCCUGUAAAUGAACCUGGUGAACUUUAUACUCGAGGUUACACAACAAUGUUAGGAUACUGGAAUGAAGCCCAGAAGACAUCAGAAGUGAUUAAAAGUGGAGGAUGGUAUGCAACAGGGUUGUUGGGUUACCAGAUCCACGAAUGGGAGAAGAGGUGUGUGCCAGUAUUCAAUUGAAGGAAGGUGUAGAAUGCAGUGAAGAUGAGAUUAAAGAUUAUUGUGUUGAACAUUUGGCUAAAUUCAAGAGACCUCGAUAUGUUGAUUUUGUUAACAGUCAUCCAAUGACUGUAACUGGGAAAAUACAAAAGUUCAAAA